CCCUGUCCCCUCCCUGUCUGCUGUCUCACCAGCAGGUACACUGAUCAGCCAUGAGAAACUCCUGCUGCAGAUCAACACAGAGAGAGAGAUGGGCAACAUGGACUACAAACUGGGACAGGUAGGAUGGAGAGAGAGAUGGACUACAAACUGGGACAGGUAGGAUGGAGAGAGAGAUGGACUACAAACUGGGACAGGUAGGAUGGAGAGAGAGAUGGACUACAAACUGGGACAGGUAGGAUGGAGAGAGAGAUGGACUACAAACUGGGACAGGUAGGAUGGAGAGAGAGAUGGACUACAAACGGGGACAGGUAGGAUGGAGAGAGAGAUGGACUACAAACUGGGACAGGUAGGAUGGAGAGAGAGAUGGACUACAAACUGGGACAGGUAGGAUGGAGAGAGAGAUGGACUACAAACUGGGACAGGUAGGAUGGAGAGAGAGCUGGACUACAAACUGGGACAGGUAGGAUGGAAGGAGAGAGAGAUGGGGAACAUGGACUACAAACUGGGACAGGUAGGAUGGAGGGAUGGAAGGAGAGAGAGAUGGACUACAAACUGCGACAGGUAGGAUGGAGGGAGAGAGAUGGGACACAUGGGCUACAAACUGGGACUGGAGGGAUGGAAGGAGAGAGAGAUGGACUACAAACUGGGACAGGUAGGAUGGAGGGAGAGAGAGAUGGGACACAUGGACUACAAACUGG
ensembl:lncRNA